UCGGGUAUGGUGUAGCGGCAACAUCGUUGACUCUCAUUGCUCCCCGAAAGGGGUUGGUGAAUGCGCUCAACAGCCCGGGGUUCGACUCCCCGUAUCCGAG